rnacentral:tRNA from 1 species
GGUCUGGUGGUCUAGUGGUAUGAUUCUCGCUUAGGGUAAACCCUAUGGCUUAGCUUGCGAGAGGUCCCGGGUUCAAUCCCCGGCCAGACCC